rnacentral:rRNA from 1 species
GGGUCAGUAGGUUGGUCGUGCCACCGGUACGUACUGGUCUCACUGAUUCCUCCUUCCUGAAGAACCGUAAUGCCAUUAAUUUGGUGUUGCGGGGAAACAGGACUGUUACUUUGAAAAAAUUAGAGUGUUUAUAGCAAGCUAACGCUUGAAUACAUUAGCAAGGAAUAAUGAAAUAGGACGAUCGAUCCUAUUUUGUUGGUUUCUAGGAUUGACGUA